UCAAAUCAAGUCCACUAACAAAGCCGAAACUUGAACCCAAAUCCAAAUCAAGUCCACAAAUAAAAUCCAAACCCAAACCCAAAACUCAAAUUUAAACCCAAACCCAAAACCCAAAUCAAAUCUAAACCCAAAUCCAAACCAAAUCAAGUCCACAAAUAAACCCAAACCAAGUCCACAAAUAAAACCCAAGCCAAGUCCACAUAAGGGCCCAAAUCCGAAUCAAAUCCACUAACAAAGCCGAAACUUGAAACCGAAAUCAAAUCAAGUCCACAAAUAAAAUCUAAACCCAAACCCAAAACUCAAAUCUAAACCCAAACCCAAAUCAAAUCCAAUCAAAAUCCGAAACCCAAACCUAAAACCAAAACCAUAAUCCAAACCAAGUCCACAAAUAAAAAAACCUAAACCUAAACCCAUAAAACCCAAAUCCAACCCAAGUCCACAAAUAAAAAACUCCAAACCAAAACCUAAACCCAAAAAACCCAAAACCAAACUAAGUCCACAAAUAAAACUUGAACCUGAAUCCAAAUCCAUAAACCUAACCUCAUGAACCAUAUACCAAGUUCAUGAACCACGAACCAUAUCCAUGAACCUUACCCAAGUUCGUGAACCAAAUCUCAUGAACCAUACCCAAGUUCAUAAAUAAAGUCUCAUACACCAAAUCCCUAAACCAUACGCCAAAUCCAUGAACCAUACACCAUAUCCCGUGGACCAUACCCAGAUUCAUGAACCAAGUCACAUGAACCAUAAACCAAACCUCAUAAAUCAUACACCAAGUUCAUGAAUCAUAAACUAAGUUCAUGAACCAUACCCUAUGAACCAUGAACUAAAUCCCAUGAACCAUAAACCAAGUUCAUGAACUAUAAACCAUAUCCAUAAACCAUACACCAAUCCAUGAACCAUACACCAUAUCCCAUGAACCAUACCCAAGUUCAUGAACCAUGAACCAAGUCCAUAAACUAAGUCCAUAAUCCAAAUUCAUGAACCAUAUCCAAGUUCAUGAACCAAAUUCCAUACACCAAGCCGAAUGGACCAUAUCCAAGUUCAUGAAACAAAUCCAAUAACCGAACACCAUGAACCAUACCCAAGUUCAUGACUCAAGUCUCAUGUUCAUGAACCAUAAACCAAACCUCAUGAACCAUACCCAAGUUCAUGAACCAUAAACCAAACUUCAUGACCAUACAUCAAGUUCAUGAACCCAAUCCCAUAAACCAUACCCAAGUUCAUGAACUAAAUAUCAUGAACCAUACAUCAAACCCUAUGAGUCAUAAAACUCAUGAACCAUACAUCACAUCCCAUGAACCAAAUCUCAUACAUCCCAUGAACCAAAUCCCAUACACCAAACCCAAUGGACCAUAUCCAAGUUCAUGAAACAAAUCCAAUAAACGAACACCAUGAACCAUACCCAAGUUCAUGACUCAAGUCUCAUGUUCAUGAACUAGAAACCAAACCUCAUGAACCAUACCCAAGUUCAUGAACCAAAUCUUAUGAGCCAUAAACCAAACCCCAUAAACCAAACCAUACCAAGUUCAUCAUAAACCUCUUUACUCUAGUAUAUAUACCUAGAGUAAAAAUCAAAUAUCGACUACCCCUAAUACAU
rnacentral:lncRNA from 1 species